ensembl:lncRNA
UGAAGGGGAGGCAGGCGGGUCCAAGAAGAGAUUACGUGAGGCACAGCUGUUCGCUUCCUUUUCAGGAGAAGCGGUGAUGUUUCCUCAGUGAUUUGCCUCUAGUCAGAUAAACACAGCUGGUGGUAAGAGAUUCAUGAGGCCGGGCAGAGCUACACAUCUGCCCGAAAGAGGAAGGCAAGUACUGUACAAGCUAUGGUGCUCAUCUCAAGGAUUUUAUUUCUCAAGCUGAGACAGCAUAAAGACACACUGAAGAUAAAUCAUGGACCAUAUAACAAGAACAGGUGAAGACAUGCUGAUAUGAAAAUAACACAGAAGGUAAGAAAUCGUUUCGGUUUUCCUUUCUCAGUGUUUCUAUUUCAUAUCUUCUCAGUAAGUCAAACUGUGUGACUCCAGCGUUCUUAUUAAAUGCAGUGGUAGGGAGUUGAAGAAUAUGACGAUGGACAUGCAUUUGCUACUUAAAGUAGAGAUGUCUGAGACACUAGUGAAGUUUUUGAUCAUGGUACAUUCAAGCUCCCCUUUUUAUGUUUAUGUACUGUAUACUACAUGUUCUUAUUGUCACCUGAAGAAGGAGAAGAAAAGGAGAAAGGUACAGCACAGGCAAAGCAGAAGAAAUAACAAAUGGAACAAAGCUCAAAUGUACAGGAAAGAACAGUAAUAGUGAGAUUUUAUAUGAUGUUUUCCAUCUUGAGUAUGUCAUAAACUGAAGUUAGUAAUAACUGUAAACUAGCUGUUAUUUCCCUCACCAGGCUGGAACUCAAUGAAUGGUGGUACUAUAAAAUCAUUAUAGUACUUUAAGAGCAUUUCCAGACAUACUGAUUCACCAGAACCUGAACUGUGUGCAGUUCUGGGUGCCACAAUGUAAGAAAGAUUUAAAACUACUGGAGAGCAUCCCAAGAAGGGCAACAAAGGUGCUGAAGGAUGUAGAGGGCAAGACAUAUGAGGGGCAGCUGAUGCUCCUGGUCUGUUCAGCCCAGAGGACGGGAGGCUGAUCUCAAAUGUUGUCCUGCGAUAACACAGCAUCAUCACCAGCUUCAGAGUGUGAUGAGACUCCUGAGUGUCAUUGGCUGACUUUGUCCAUGAGAAAGCUGAAUAAAUAAUUUGGGCCUGUCCAGUCCCAUUCUUUCCUGUUUCUUUUAUAUGUUUUCUCUACACUAUUGUUUUAUAACCUUGAAAUUUGCAGUAAUCUUUCAGAAAGCCCUAACAUAUACUGCAUGUUUUGUAUGAAAUUUGUCUAGCUUUUUCUAGUUACAAUAGUUGCUUGUUCUGUUG